CUAUACAUCUAGUUUUAUUUCUAGUUAUGUAAUUCUAUGCACUUCUAUGAACUAACUCUCACAGUAGGCUUAUACAAGGCUACAACGAUGAUUAGGCUACCAAAAACAAAGCAAGCUAACUAACACCUUAAAGGGGAAAUCUGAAGUUGCUUCAUUCAUCUGAAUAAAUUAAAUGUACCCAUUGAUUCUUGAAGAAGAUAACUUAUAAAUGCUGCAUGAGUUUAGUUCAACUGUCAUACCCCAUCAGAACCCAAAAUACAAGCUUGUUUCAAUCCAAUGUUUGGAAACAAAGUACAUGUAAAUAAACACUAUAUAGCCUAUAAACAUGGUUAGAACUAUAAUGUUGAUAUCAUGGAUGCUCAAGCCUUGAUUCCAUAGCUCUGUCUAAGAAUGUGACAUUGAUUACAUUUCUCCAGCCCUUUCCCUCAGCUUUUUACUGAAACAGGGGUGGGAAAGCGGUUUGUUGUUGUUUGAAAUGCUGAUUGCCGCUUUAACGGUUUAAUAUGCAGAAAUCUCUCCGCCAUUUCCUGGUUGCUAACAUUCUAAUAGUUUGCUUAAUUUCAGUUUAUGUGACAAAACAAGCAACGCCCUGUAUAGUGUAGAGAAUCAGUAUAUCGUCUAAACUACAUAUAUUGUAGGCUAAAAUACAGUCAGCAAGAAAUGUGUUUUAUGCUUGAACACACAACCUUUGUGACAGAAUCAACAAAAAAAAUGUUUUUACAACUGACGUCAUAGGCUACAUAGUGAGAGGUGCGUGAACCGUUAAAUUGAGGGAUCAAUUUGGAAAGUGUAGCUUUCCAUGAAGACACCGAAAUCAAGGCUUACUGUUGCAACCCGUUGUUCCACGCUAGUGCAGUGACAUGAGCAAGACAGAAGGGGGCAACACGAGCAUGCGGGCGCGAAGCUUCACUCAAAGGGAGCUUGACGCAGUGUCCCGUUCCUCUUAUUUCCAGCGCAUGUUACCAGAGCGUGAGGAGCAAGGAAGGGUUUAUGAUGCUGUGUUCCAUCUCAGGGAGGGGUAUGAACCCAAAGUGUCACGUGAUGACAAGGCUGUGAACCUUACACUGAACAUUAAUAAGGAGGUAAGUAUUUACAAAGCUUCUUCUCUGGGCCAUAAUCUUUCUGAAGAUGUCUCUUCAUUUUUGCCAGUCCACUUAGAACUCUUACUGCCCAUUAUUGAUGUCAAUGAUUGAUUAAGCAUUUUGUCCUGUUGCACCAGGAAAGGGGUAGACGGGUGCCUGUCCUCUCAUCGUCUAUGUACGGCUGGCAUGUAGACAAACCCCUGGAGGCUCCCUACAAGAAGAAUGCACGCGUGCAGAUGGUGAACAAGGGGUUCUUCCGAUCCCGAGGGACCUGUAUCCCACUAGAGACAGAAAUUGGAGAGUUGAAUGAAAAAUGCAAACCUUAAUAAAAGAUGCAAAGUGAAAUUUUAUGCACUGUAGGAUAUAUAUGCCAAACACAUACACACACACUCGUAUACAUUUGCACCCGGAAAGACAGGAUCUGGACAGAGAUCAGCUAGAGAGCUAGCAACAAGAGGGUGAGAGGUCAGCCAGAGGGAGAAUAAGCACAGUAGCAGAAUAAAGUACUGAUACUACAAGAUAACAACAUUUAAGCUCUUGUUCUACAUACCCAGAGUCAGAUGAACUCAUAGAUUCCAUUUGUUUGUCUGCAUGCAGUAUGAAGUAGCGGUAGUUUCGUGAGUCAAUGCUAACUAGUGUUAGCACAACGACUGGAAGUCUACAGGUAUGGUAGCAUUGCGAGAGAGAGCAACUACAAAAAGCAGAGAAGCUAGAGAGAGUGCUUAGGGUUUCCAAUUCGCAUUCUUAUUUAUUUUAG
rnacentral:lncRNA from 13 species